rfam:Capsicum annuum cultivar Zunla-1 chromosome 2, whole genome shotgun sequence
GUGCUUUUCUAUUUUCAUUGACUUUAAAAUAUCGUGAUAUUGAGAACUCAAUGAUCUAUAGCAAGGAGCCU